AGCGCAUCCACCGAUACCAUAUAUGGAAACAAAGCGCUGUGUGAGCGGAGGGCUACCUUCGGUGGCUGCUGUGAAUUGCGCCCACACGUCACCCAUGGAGUACCGCUGCCUCUUUCGAUCUCGUAAUUAGCGAGCCAGUCGUGCCACAUUUCAGUCCGUUUGCAACGUACCGCGCGAGACAGAUUGUCCGCACCAGCCAAUAUAUCGCAAAAUGAAGACACGUAUGAAGCUGCCCUCAAAUUUCACAUUAGGAGGCAUCGUAAUCGUUGGUGAAUUUUUUCGUGGUUCCGACCAAGGAAGUUAAAGAACAUCUGCUGGAGUGGAAGUCGCCUAUGCCGGCCUAUGAGCUCAGGUGAAGCUGGUGGCAGCAAUCUUGCGGAAAGCAGGAAGCGGCCUGCCAAGAGCUUCGCAGCGUUUUGCACCAACUUUUCCAGCAGUGUUUUAAUUCCUUAAUGAAUUUUCAAGUUCUAAUGCAACACUGUGGGCUAUGAGGCAAGCCAUAUUGCAGGUCUCCGGAUUGCAGUUAUCCGACUGUUGGGGCAUUUUCCUAUCUUAACGGCAUCAAUAUGUGGCUGCCGCAAAGUAGAAAAAAAAUUCAUGCAAUAAGCAUUUAUUCUCUUUCUUUAAUGCAGUGUAGAAAUUGAUCAAUCGUGAAAGCUGUCAGAACAAAAAACAAUUAAAAACUGAGAAUGUAGCAUGAGAAGUAGGAGUACAUGCAACAAACAUAAGUAUUCAUUAUUAUCUUCAUUAUCAUUAUGGUCUUGCCAGUGCUUUACCAUCCUCAUUGGAUGGAGCGUCUCGGAACUUUGGUUGCGACUGUUUCCUUUUAGCCUGGAAUAUAAAAUUUUUCCUUUAGUCUAGAGCAAGAUAAUGCUAAUCUGCAACGUUAUUUAAAUGAGAAGAAUAAUGUUAACAUGUCAACUGCUUGUGCGUCAACUUUCCCAUAUACACCCGAGCAUGCUAGCACAUUUUGGGACCCGCACGGCACCGCGCAUGGCGAGAUACAACGGCCCGAAACACAUGAGCUGCAGUGACUGCCGUGCUUUUGCCCCCCACCCCACCCCUCCGCAAGAUGGCAACUCAGCGGCUUCACUUCACAGGCACUCACUCCACUCCAGUGGUUUUUCUUUAACCUCCUUGGUUUCAACUAAAUUACUUGCUUUGUAGAUUGGAUUAGUAUUCGGAGUUAUGAUUGGCACAGGACUUUGGUUGGUAUGAAGUUCGGAGUGGGAAAAUUGACAUGGGGCCACUCAUUGCAGCAAAGACAGCGACACUUUGGUUUUCUUUGUAUCAACCUGGAAAGGCAAAAAGCCCUGUAAAGGCGAAUCUGCCAUGUGGCGGCAGCUCCUUGGGACUAUGACUUUGUCAUGCCAUGCUAGCAGACAGAUGAGGCAGCUCUUCACUGUCAUCAGCAGAAUUUUGCCAUCAUCAUGUUGUAUUGUAGUUUUGUCUCUACAUACUUUGUUAUGUCAAGUGUUCACAGUUUUCUGACUUCUCUUUCUACAUGUUCUGAGCACAACAGUGACCCAGUGGUGCAUACCUCUAUGCAUGUUGCCCUGCAGGGUAGCAUAAUGUUCAUUCAUGUGCAUUUGUUUGCUGAUGUAAGGGAAAUAGCUGUGGCUUUUUUCUCCUGCAUAAGAUUUGCGCAGUUCGGUGUAGAAUUGUUUGCUGGCCUGUACUUCAUUCCAAUGCUUUUAUUUUCUGCUUUCAGACCUUGGCACAAAACUUAACAGGGGUAUUAAAGGCGAACAUUAAGUCAAGCUGGAGUGAUGGAAUAGGGUUCCAGAAUGUCCGAGUGUCACUUUUAUUGAGAACAAAGCUUUUUUGCAAGUGAGAUAGUGACGUAAACAUAGGACAGUGUUCGCUUCGCCAUUGUGAACGUAUGUCUCAUUUGUAAUUGCUGAAGGGUAACUAAGUAGGUGUACAGUUGUUAAAUUCUGGUGUUAAAAAUAUAAUUACGUUGCAAUCGAAUGUAAAGAGAAAUGCAUUUGCUGAAUCAAAUAUAAUGCUGAAGAAAGAGCUCCUUUUCGAGGCAGCAUUUGUUAUGUGGCGCCCCCUUUGUGUGCGACCCACUGCAGAAAUUGGUGCAGAGCGUGGCCUCUAAAAUUGUCAGUGCAGAAUAGGACAUAUGCAUGACGCAAUUUAGCCUAAUCUUUUCAUGCUGUGUGCUUUGCACAAAACAUGCGCCGUUUUUUCAAUGUUGUUUUUUUGAGUGACUAAGUGGUGUCUUGGCAAAGAACAAGUGAACCAUAAGCUAUGUCACUCUAACCUGACAUAACGUUUGCCUUUAGUACCACCCGAACCUUCGGAAGCGUGCACAAAUUUUCAGCGAUUCACUGCUUGGAUACUAGCUUUGUGAUGGUGUUAUGAAAUGCACAUCCUGCCUAUCAAAGUCUGCAUGAGACUUUAAGUGACUAAAGGCCAACACACCUCAGUGGUUUAAAUCUGAGCACACCUCAUUGUGUUACCAGACGUUAGUGCACAAACUUUUGAGGCUUAGGUACCCCUCUUGACAUAGCAGGUGGCCUUUUUGAUCUCACCUGCGCUGUCGGCACAGUCCAAAUGUCCAGGCUAACUUAGCGCACAGGGAACCUCAAACUCUUCUCUGCUUUUAAGCAAGAACUUUUUUUUCUUGCACCAUUUUGCCAGAGAAGUCGGGUGUUCUGCAGAGUGUAGGCCUUGACAGCUAGCAGAUGGGGAACUUGGCGCAGAGGUUGCAGUUGCAGAGCCCCAGAUCGAGCUGUAUUAGAGAGUACAGUUGAACCUCGCAAUAAUGAAAUUGGCAGGGAAUGCGAAAAAAUUAGCCUUUGCAAGAAUUUUGUUGUUGCAAAAUGAGACAGCACACAUAGGCAGUGCAUUGCAGAACGAAACUUCACUGUCAAAAUUUUGCUAGCUUACAUUGGCAAGCUUUACUCGAGGAUAUAGAGCCACGUUGACGACAGUACAAAGUGUGCCGCAUGCGUUGAUUGGCAUGGCAGUGGCAGCACUGCCGUGGAGCAGUAUUCUCGGUCACUUGCUUUUUGCGAUACGGUCACUUGAGCGAGAUUUUACAUAACUCGACACUGGGCGCAGAGCAAGCAUCCACGCCAUGUUGCCAUAUCUAUUGGCGAGCACAAAUGUGAUCGUAUCUUGUAUAACCGAAGGCAGUCUAGGUUAUGGCCCCUUCGCGCGAAUGUACAUAUGGCACUGAAUCCGCAUGCGAUGCCUGUCGAGUGGCGCCAAAACCAGCGUAUUGAAGCAAGGGAUGUGUAUUUCCGGACGACCACUCAAUGACGGCCCAAUGUGAGGCACUCCAUGCUGCGACUGCCAUUUCAAGCACCGUAAACAAUUCCGCGUAGGUGGGACGGGGAUUUCCUUGUCAUUGCUGCAUUUUUCUCACUGGGACGCACAUUACACACGGCACAGGUGUGCAAAAACUGUCGUCACAUGCUUAUAGCAACAUGCGUGCUGCUUCAAACGACAUGUUUCCAGUGCACGCAAUCGCUUCCGGCGCUUGGUUGUUUUUGUAAACAAAAAUGGCGGAGCCCGUGCAAGUGUAAGGCAGUGGUAUGUUACGCAAUUUUAGUGUGAAGCAAUCACAUUUGAGCACAUUUGGAGCCUGCUAGCCUUGCGCGAGUAAGUAAUAUGCGGGGUUAAUUUCUGGCAAAUUUCGUUGAAGCAAGAUUGUAGUACAGCAACAUUUUGUUGUCGAGAGGUAUGAAAUGCAUUGAAUCCUAUGGGCUUUUGCCAUGGGUACGAAAAUAUUUCAUUGUCGCGGGAUUUCGUUACCGCGGGUUUCGACUGUACUAGCAGCCAUUGCUGUGACGGUUGAAAAAAAAAAAAAAAAGCUUGCUUCUUGUGAUCAGAGGCCGCAGCCACUAAAGAGAUGAACUGCAGUGCUUAGACAAUGCUUCUUGUGAGGAUACAGCAUUGGACGUGCAGCUUCAGCCACUCCAGUGACUGCAAAUCCUUCAGUCCUUCCCCAUUGCACAUUUCGUAGCAGACGUGCACACUCGGCACGCCUUAUUUCAGUUGAACGCACAGGCCUCUUUGUUUCUGCUACCAGAAGGCUGGAGAAAGCUAAGCUUAGGGGUUGAAGUCCCGCAACCCUCUGACCCCCGGUCACAUCUGCAAGCAUCGCUAGUCCGCCAGAGAUCAUUCGCAUUGUCGAUAUUUGAUAGGUUCUUGCCCCUCUGUCUAACAAGGCCACUGGCCCGCUUGCAAUUUGCAGAGGACGUGUCUGUUGUGUGGCAGCUUUGUGAUCUUUCAGUCAGUCAGUUGGUCGUCGCAAUCGUCUAAAGCAUUUCGUCUUUCCCAGUCUUCCCGGGGUUUCUUAGAAACGCGCCAAUGUGAUGCGGCUUUCUCCGAGUGUUGUUCUUUUUUUUGUAGGUCGUUGAUUAUUUAUUGCAUUCCUGUACACACAGUUGAGAACCAGGUGACAGCAGCUCUAUGCGCGAUAUGUGAUGCUGAGGGCACCCCUAUCUCUCUCUCCUUUGAGACUCGGAUCGUUUCAUAUUAGAUUAUACAUAUUAUAUAUAUAUAUAAAUAUAUACAUAUGAAAUGUGUAUAUACAUAUGAUGAAAUGCGAGUUUGCGGCUUCCAGUUGGACAAAGCCACGGCGAUGUGCCACUGCGACUUUUAUCGUUGUACUAUUGAGAUUAGCGCUUGACAAAACAUAGAGUGAGCUGCAGUGGCAAAAGGGUUUUAUAUCCAUGUGUCUGUGUGUUUUGUGGCUUGUUCCUUAUACAUAUAUAUAUAUAAAUAUAUAACAAAUGUUGUAAGAGACCUUAAUUCAUGUGGAAGCACAAAAAGUAUAUGUCAUGCCUGAUUGUGUGAAUUGCGUGGUGUAGGCUAUGGUGUGAUUGAUCUGACGCACACCUCAGUGUCUCCUAAUUAAAGGCCAAGCACAAAAAGUGUGUUGAGACGAAUGGACUGCUGUUGUUUUAGACUCCUUUCUUUUUGUGUGUCUGUGUGUCUGUCUGGUUUUUUUAAUAAAGCCUCACUGCUGCUUGU
rnacentral:lncRNA from 1 species